AUUUUUCAAAAGAUGCGACAUCAUAGAUCCACAGCUUAAAUAAUUUCACGAUUUACUACGAUCAUUGAUGAUAUUAAGGUAGCCAUCGAUUCUCUACCCGACGUUCCUUCCACACAUGACAGGAAACAUCUACAGGCAUAGAGCAAAUGGCACUGAGCAGCAAUGUACAUCUGAUAAGGCAAGCUCCUGGAAGUGUCGAUCUGCAAAAAUACAAAGCGGGAGACAGAUCAUCAAAUUGAUCUACCUAUGGUUAAUGGCCGUCCUUGGAGACAGACAAUAAACUACGUAACAAUAUAUCAACCACCUUUUGAUAACAGAACGAAUUUAAAAUGAGAGCAAGACCCUUCCUUAUGGAGGGAGGGCCAAGAAACAUUUAAAAACGGAACAUUUUACUACUGACAGGUCUGAGCCACUGAAUAAAAUACAUUCCACCAGUCAAUAAAAUUUUAAAUUUUGAAUGUUGAUGGAUAACCUGAUUGCCAGUAUACAUUGAGUUGAAACCAGUUGAAACAUCUGAUACGUAGAGCGGUUCAUUCUUAUAGAAGCUUCCGAAGUAGUUCCAGAUAGGUACUUUAAAAUUAGACACCGGUCAAAUGUAGUACAAGAGAGGAAAUGGGUGCAACAAAACUUUAAUUGUCCUUGAUUCUUUUGUGAAAGGUGUGAAAGUGAAAAAUUAUUCAUUAAAUUACUUACUUGAGGUGAUGUGGUGAUGUGAGAGAUAAAUAUAACCUAACUUUUGUGAAGAUGUUCCUAGUUCCUGGAAUAAUCGUUCCUUGCCGAUACUUCCAGGGUUGUAUUUAUUAUCUAAAUAAUUAUCAGGCAAAUGUUUUCAAAAGGAUUAAAAUACAAAAACUGGCUUUCUAUAAUCAUUAUAGCGGCUGAUUUUCACUCAUUUUCAUACGCAACCUCGAUAAAAAGGCAAAAGGCGGAACCGCGGAAUGGUCCCUCGUCCAACUGUUCGAUGUCCAACUCGCACUCGGAACUCCGGCCGGACCAUUUUUCAAUUCAAUCCACCCAGCCAGCCAAGCCAUGCCAUGCCGUGAAUUUCAAAAUGAAAACUUAAUUUGAUCUACUUUUCAUGAUUCUUAACGAAGAAUCGAUUGUAUUAUCGGCGUCUACUUGACUAUACUCAGUUUCAUCGAACACAGAUCGACACUUCCAGGAGCUUGCCUUAUCAGAUGUACAUUGCUGCUCAGUGCCAUUUGCUCUAUGCCUGUAGAUGUUUCCUGUCAUGUGUGGAAGGAACGUCGGGUAGAGAAUCGAUGGCUACCUUAAUAUCAUCAAUGAUCGUAGUAAAUCGUGAAAUUAUUUAAGCUGUGGAUCUAUGAUGUCGCAUCUUUUGAAAAAUGCUUUCUCCUCUAAAACUAAACUGAAAAAUCGUGUUGUGUCAGUGCUUUUCUGAGAGUGGUGUUCUGUAUUGAUCAGCUAUUAAAUCAUGGUGCUAAUUUUUCUCUUACGUUAAAGAGUGCUUUAGAUAUUUUUACAAUGCACUCAUCGUGUUUUCAAAAGUUCCUUCGUACCUGCACCAGUUCUAAUCGGAAAUUUGGAUUCAUUGUCUUCAAGUGGAUUUUUCUGACCCAGUGGAUUACAGACUUGAGCGAGUUGGUGAGUGUUGUUUGUUCAUUUUCUAUUUUAUUGAGUAUGUCUGCAUGACAGAUGUCAUCCAUUAUUACUUUGCAUGAUGCAUAUUUAGCUGAAAGAUUCUCUUUACACAUGCCUAGUGGAAGAUACAUGUGGGUUUGGAACUGCUAACAUGCGAACUUUGAAAAACUACGCUGCUAUGAUAUAGAAAAUCCUACAAGUCCAAGAAGGUCUAUGCGCUGAUAUCAAUUACAUACUGACAUAUACCCGUCAAACAAGUUCCCAUGGCUGUCAUAGAUGGCCUGCCCACAAAGUAUGUCUGAAAGGGUGGCCCUAAUUUUCAUCAAGGAGCUUUGAGUACACCAUGUACUUUUUAAGAUUAUUGUGCUUAUUAUUGCUUUCACUUGAGUGUAGAUGUAAGUACAUACUAAGCUUUUAUCCAUCAUACAUUUUGGCACAUUUCUUUAAUUAUUGAGCUUCAUAAAAUUUCAGGUACUUGAUUUUCAGGGGCUGAGAUCGAAAUCAUAUCAUUAAAAAAAAUUGGUUCCAGCAAUUCUUUUCAAAUUCUUUACAAAAAAAUUUAGAGGAUUUAAUAACUGAAGAUAAAAACAUAACAUGCUAAACACUACCUUCUGAUGAAAAAGUACUUAAGUGAUGACCAAAA